UCACUGAGUUGCCCACACUGGGCUUGAAUUUGCAGUCUUUCUGCCUCAGCCUCUCAGAGUGCUGGGAUUCUACCACCACGAAUGUUGUGAUUCUUGGAUCAUGAUGGCUCCCACCAGCCUUGCCCGUCACUCCUUUGUUCCUGCCACGCCUGUUGGUAAGAUUCCUUCAGCCAUCGGACACUGUUCACCUUCCACGCCUGCCCAAGCGUGAUUUCCUACGAAGCUUUGACUUGAUGGGGACGCAACAAGAUGGAACCACUCUGCUGACACUGCAGGUUAACCUGGCCUGUGCUGUUCUAGGGGUCAUUCCAGGUGGCCGGGGGCUUCACCUGGCAGCAGCUGGACCCCAGGGAGCAGACCCUGUAAGAAGAUGUGAUGCUAACGAUCUACAGCCACCUGCUCUCUCUGGGUUGUCAAGUCAGCAAGCCAGCUAUGAUCUCCAGGCUGCAGUAGGGGACAAAGCUGUGGACCAGGAAAGAAAAGAUGUGCAGAUGUGCAGAUUUGAAGGGACAGCCUUUAGAGGACUGCGGGGUCAGGACGUCACAGAACAAAGCCCUAGUGUUUUCUUAUUCCAAAGAAGUGGUACCCAAA